CUUUUAUGGAGAGUUUGAUCCUGGCUCAGGACGAACGCUGGCGGCGUGCCUAAUACAUGCAAGUCGAGCGCGGGAAGCGAGUGGAUCCCUUCGGGGUGAAGCUCGUGGAACGAGCGGCGGACGGGUGAGUAACACGUGGGCAACCUGCCUGUAAGACCGGAAUAACCCCGGGAAACCGGGGCUAAU
rnacentral:rRNA from 1 species